rnacentral:lncRNA from 1 species
ACAUGCGCGCACGUGUCCUCAGGGUUCCUCAUGCGCCUGCGGGCCAGGCCAACGUGCGCCCUCCACUCUCGCCCCCGGCCGCCACCCGUCGCCUGCCGCUGUGUGACCCUGGGCAAGUGACUUACCCUCUCCGGGCACCGGCGUCUCACUGCAGAACGGGAUCCAGCGCGCACUCAAGACAGAAUGACCUCCCCCUUCCCACUCUCACUCCAGGGCAGGGAAAGCUCGGAGACCCUCAAAACCAAGAGGCCAGGAGCAGCUCUGAGUGGAGUCACAGGGCCCCUGCUCUAGAGUGGGGGACUGGGGAAGACCUCUCUGCCACAGUGAUGAUGAAAAGCUGAGGACUGGAGGGAAAAGCAUGCAGGGCGGAGGCCACAGCAUGCUUGAGGGCCCAGAGCAGAAACUCGGGGUGUGCAUCUCUGUCCUGCAGUACAGGGGUGCAUCUGCUGGUGAGGCUGCUCGGGCAGGGUGGAACCAGGGUGAGAAUGCAGGGCCAGGACUUAGAACUAGUUCUGUAGGCAACAGGGAGCGAGAUACUCAAACCGGCAGUUUAGAAGCAGCAGUCCUGGCCGGGAGUCAUGGUGUAUACCAGUAAUCCCAGCACUCUGGAGGCUGAGGCAGGAGGAUCAAAGGGAAUUUGAAGCCAAGUUGGGCUCCACAGUCAGUUCAAGGCCAGCCUGAACUACAUAAUAAGACACUGUCUCAGAACAAAACAAAGAAACAAAACACAGCAGUACUGGGCUGGGGAUGUGGCUCAGGAACACAGCACUUGUCUGCCUCAUGUAAGACCCUGGGUUCGAUCCUCAGCACCAAGAAACAAAACAGCAACAGUGAAGCUCCCAGCCUGGAAAAGCCCCAGAGAGAAUACUUAUGCCAAGAAGAAAUCUCUGUUCUAAAUGGAAACUUUCUCCUGUUUGCUGAGAGUUCAAAGCCUGUCCUGAGCAUCAGGGCCAGGCAGGAUGUUUUGUUGCUGACUGCCCAACAAAAGACUGCCCAGAAAGGUCUAGCGAUUUGCUCAUAUGAAACAGCAAACCAACACCAAAGGCAGACACUUAGAAACCCCAAUUGUCAGCUUUCAGCUGCAGCCCCUAAACUGGGUGGGACUCGAAUUUGUGAUCCUCCUGUCUCAGCCUCCCAAAGCUCAGCGCUUACAGGUGCAAAAUGUCACCACUGAUUGGGGCUCCCGGGCCCCACCCAAUCUCUUUUAGCGCCACUAAGUCCCCCAUGCGUCCUCUCCCUUCCCCCUCUCCCAAAAGUUGCUGAAAGACUCGUAACAAAUCAGCCAGAAGUUUCCUGCCUUGUUGAGCUGGCUUACUCAAUUUCCCCCAUUUGUCUGCGCGGCCCAGACAGAGCAAAGGGCAGCCAUCAA